UAAGAAAGUGGCAGAAAGGCCAUGCGCCUGAUUUGAAAUCAGACUAUGGAGGUUCGAUUCCUUCCUUUCUC
rnacentral:tRNA from 1 species